AUUGAACGCUGGCGGCGUGCUUAACACAUGCAGGUCGAGCGGUAACAGGCGUAGCAAUACGUGCUGACGAGCGGCGAACGGGUGCGUAAUACAUGGGAAUCUGCCCUUUGGUGGGGAAUAACCCGGCGAAAGCCGGGCUAAUGCCGCAUAAGAUCUUCGGAUGAAAGCGGGGGAUCGUAAGACCUCGCGCCGAUGGAUGAGCCCAUGUCGGAUUAGCUAGUUGGUGAGGUAACGGCUCACCAAGGCGACGAUCCGUAGCUGGUCUGAGAGGACGGCCAGCCACACUGGGACUGAGACACGGCCCAGACUCCUACGGGAGGCAGCAGUGGGGAAUAUUGGACAAUGGGCGAAAGCCUGAUCCAGCGACGCCGCGUGUGUGAAGAAGGCCUGCGGGUUGUAAAGCACUUUCGAUGGGAACGAAAUGUGUCGGGCUAAUACCCCGGCAAGCUGACGUUACUCAAUGAAGAAGCACCGGCUAACUCUGUGCCAGCCGCCGCGGUAA
rnacentral:rRNA from 1 species